UCCCCGUGAAGAAACAUUCACAUGUCUUACCUUCUGUCCUAGUCCCAGAGCCUGUAAAGGUGAACCCACUGGGGCUGGCUGGGGGAUAAGAGGAGCAUUUGUUCCAGAUGGAACUGUCUGAGGGAU
rnacentral:snoRNA from 2 species